GAUGAACGCGGCGGCGUGCCUAAUACAUGCAAGUCGAACGCUGGACAUCUAGCUUGCUAGAUUGAAGGAGUGGCGAACGGGUGAGUAAUACAUAAGCAACCUACCCACGAAGACUGGGAUAAUCUCUGGAAACGGGGACUAAUACCGGAUAGGUAAUCGGAAGGCAUCUUCUGAUUAUUAAAGGUUAAAAACACUGGUGGAUGGGCUUAUGGCGCAUUAGUUAGUUGGUGAGGUAACGGCCCACCAAGACGAUGAUGCGUAGCCGGCCUGAGAGGGUGAACGGCCACAUUGGGACUGAGACACGGCCCAGACUCCUACGGGAGGCAGCAGUAGGGAAUUUUCGGCAAUGGGGGAAACCCUGACCGAGCAACGCCGCGUGAGUGAUGACGGCCUUCGGGUUGUAAAGCUCUGUUGUAAGGGAAGAACGGUAGAUAGAGAAUAUCUAAAUGACGGUACCUUACCAGAAAGCCACGGCUAACUACGUGCUAGCAGCCGCGGUAAUACGUAGGUGGCGAGCGUUAUCCGGAAUUAUUGGGCGUAAAGGGUGCGUAGGCGGCCUGUUAAGUAAGUGGUUAAAUUGUUGGGCUCAACCCAAUCCAGCCACUUAAACUGGCAGGCUAGAGUAUUGGAGAGGCAAGUGGAAUUCCAUGUGUAGCGGUAAAAUGCGUAGAUAUAUGGAGGAACACCAGUGGCGAAGGCGGCUUGCUAGCCAAAGACUGACGCUCAUGCACGAAAGCGUGGGGAGCAAAUAGG
rnacentral:rRNA from 1 species